UUUGAAAUGCUCGAUGAUCUUCUCUUCCCGCACGUUCUCGGGCCGGGCGUGGCGGCUCACACCUGUAAUCUCAGCACUUUGGAAGGCCCUGGCGGAAGGAUCUCUUGACGUCAGGACUUCCAAAACAGUUGGGCAACACAGCAAGACCCCGUUCCCAGGCUGGGGGCAAAGCCGGGCUCGGUGGCUCACGCCUGUAAUUCCAGCACUUUGGGAGGCCGAGGUGGGCGGAUCACCUGAGCUCAGGAGUUCGAGACCAGCCUGACCAACAUGGUGAAACCCAUCUCUACUAAACAUACAAAAAUUACCCGAGCGUAUUGGCGGGCGCCUGUAGUCCCAGCUACAUGGGAGGCUGAGGCAGGAGAAUCGCUUGAACCCGGGAGGCGAAGGUUGCAGUGAGCCGAGACUGCGCCACUGCACUACAGCCUGGAUGACAAGAGACUCCCGUCUCAAAAAAAAAAAAAAAAAGACACCUUUCUUUGGGCUUAGUGAGCAAACAUUCUACGCAGUGCCUAAUAUAAGCCGGCCCAGGCACCACCCAAGCCUUCGGCCAGGACUGUUUUCCCGUUUCGAGAAGGCUCCAUCACACUCCACACGGGAUCCAGUCAACAGCCGUUCCAAACAUGGCGCGGGAAGGGGUGGAAGACAAGCCAGCGCGACGCCGUCCAGCCUCAUCCCCGGGGCACAAAGGGGAGACUAAUCUCCAGGAAACUCGGGGUACAGAAUCGAUAACCCCACAAGAAACUAGUUUCCGCGAGUGGGCCUUAAGGAAAAAGUAGGUCGGGCACAAGCGAGCUGUUCAGACGCACUUCACAGCAAAGACUCGCGGACAACACAGCGAGACGAAAACGGCCCCGUGCGCAGGCGCGCGGAAACACGACUAGCGCGCUUCGGGACGACCCCUCCCCCUUCCCUCAAAGGCCAAGGAAGUGGCUCCGACGCGCUUGCGCGAGGACGGAAUGUUGAGGGGAGGGGGAAUUCUUUCCCUUCAUUGUCAGAGAGAACCGCCCCCGCACGGCGAGCGCGCGCGCGCUCACGCACCACUCUCACACUCCGGCGCGCCAAAGGCUUUCCGCUUGGCGUCUCGCGCAUGCGCGGAGGGGGAAGCAGUGGCGAAAUUGGAUGCUUUUUGCUGAGUUUCUCAGAGAAGUUUCUGGAAAGAUGGAGCCAAAGGGACGCUGGGGGGUGGGGAGCGCCAGGAAGCAAGCGUUUGAAAGAAAGCGAAAAAACCCAAGCGCACCGCGACACCUCCAACCUUCAAGCCACGGCCCAAGCAGAGCCCAAGGCCACUGAGACCCUCACGCCAGAGAAAAAGCACAGGGACCGCGGCAGCCGCUCCUCCCUCUGCCACUGCUCAGCCCCCGAGACUCCCCAGCACGGGGAGAGGGCAGGGGGUAGCCAUGAGAAACCUAGAGCGCUCACUGGACUUUUGCGAGGUGGAAGGAAAGCCGAAACCCGCCCUUUGGAGCCGCCUGUGCGCACGGGCCCCGUCGAGUGGGCUCAGUACGUUAGGACUCAGCGUGGCCGCCAAAGCAUUGGUUGGGGGCGUCUUUCACUAAUUUUUCCUAGGUUUUCUCUUCUAUCGGGCUCUGUGGUCCUUUCACCACCCAUCUUCACUUUGGUGGCCUGACGCUAACGCUGCGAGUUGGGGAAACCGUAGUAACCCCGGGCCUGAGGGGCGUCCCGGGCGGCGGUGCUCCGUUUCUUCCAGCGGUUGCCCCUUUAAGAAAAAGCCCCCCGGAGAGGGGCCCGUGUGGCUGAGUAAAGGUGGCGUGCGCCCGCACAAAGGCGCCGCGUUGUUGGCGGGCUCCGGACCCUGUUGCCCCUGGGCGGGGCGGCGUGGGAAGACCGGGGCGCCUGGGCGGGGAGAACGACGUUGGCGCUAGCGGGGCAGGGCAGGGGGAGGGAGUCACGGGAUUUAGCAGGUGCUUCUCCGCGACCGAGCGACUGCCAUUUUGUGGUGCGGCCGCCGCCAUUUCGCGCGGCCGAGGGGCGGGGUGUGGGCGGAGCGGCGGGCGCGCCCGGGCUGUCCCUCGGGGCGGCGGGCUAACGCGGCCGCUUUGUUCUUCGCUUCUCGGCUCGAGGCCCCAGUCUCGACCGCCGACCGCCUCGGAACCGGGCUGCAUCCGAGCUGCCACGCGGCGUGUGAACCUUGAAGCGCGGCCGGGGAAUCCGCAAGGCGCCGACUCUCUUCCUCCUUGCAAGCCCUUCGAAAGUGAGAUUUCUCACCCCACCCUUGCAGGGUGGAGAGAACACGUUUCAAAAAGGGGAUGCCUAGAACUCAGCCGUGGGAAGUGCCUGUCUAAAGCCUUGUGCUGGUGCCAGUAGCAAACCCGUGCGCGUGCUCGGCUUUGAGCGAUCAUGGAGCUCUGCAAAUAGCUCAACUGCAGAGCGUGCCCCUUAGAGCUCCUGUGCUGCUGGGAGGCCUCAUAAAGGUGCCAAAACCAGGUGUCCCCAGCGGUUGGCCUCUUUAAAAAGAAAAAAAAAAAAAGGCGGAGUGGGAUGUCCUUGACGUGCUGAAAGACGGAGUAGAAUGAGACGUUGGUUUUCAUUGGCUGGCCAUUAAGCACGCACUGCGCAACUGUUUUCCAGAUACGGGUUUAUAGCCCAUUAUUUAUAUCGGAGCCAUAAACUUGAACAAUAGAUUGGAAUAUCUUAUUUUUGCCUGUUGAGAAUAUCUCCCAUUUAACUUCUUUUGAAAGUUCAGAUGAGUAUAUAAAUAAUACAUUGACCCAGUAGAAUCUAUUGUGUGCGUUCCAGCGUCAUUUCAAAGAGCUAUUGUUUUUCUGAUUUCAAAAGAAAUAUUUAAAUGUGAGUCUUUGUGUUUUAAUGUUAACCUUGUGGUUCGAAAUCAACAAAGCCAGGAAAUUCAAGAGAACUGCUGC
rnacentral:lncRNA from 1 species